CUGUUUCAUUUCCAUCUCAUGUCUCUAUAAUAAAAAAUCCUAGUCGCCCUUAUAACCACUCGUCGGCUCUACCUCUCUCUGCCACCCGAAAAUCAUAUUACCGCGGCGAAGUACCUCCAUACCGCCUUAAAUUAACACCAUAGAAUCAUUUCACGCUCCUCUUCCGAUAUAUCCCAACCACUUCUUUCAAACAGUUUUAGAAAUUCUCGAAUCUUGGAUCUAAAAGCCAAACCCUAGUUUUUUCCCUUUUGAUUUUCCUUCAAUUUCUGGGUCGUUUGAACCCAAGACUUUCAUUAGUCGUAUGUUCUUAUUGAGAAAAAUCGAUUAAUGAUCGUCCAAGUUCAUUUUACCCCAAUGAACCUUGUCCGAGUUCUUGACUAGUUCAAAUUCAAAGCGAAUUUUGGUAAUUCCUUUUCCAUUCUUUUUCCUUUCUUCUUUUGUUUAUCUCUUUCAUCUUCUUUCUUCUUUUGGCCGCAUGUUUUAGGUAGUUGCAAAUUUAGGUUUUCUCUUUUCUUUUUUCAUGGAUUGUUUAGUUUGUUUGUUUGCAUCUGUUUUUAGUUUAAUUAAAGCAUGUUAAAGUUUCAUCAUUUGAAGUUUAAUUUCGAAUGGAUAAAGUUAGGAUAAUUAGGUUUAGUGCUUAGGUUUUGAUAAGUUGACUGUUCUAUUUUUUUUUUUUUGUUUUAUCUCUCUUUUAUAUUUGUUUCAAUGUUUAGUUUAAGUUGAUUAGAAUGUUUAAGAGUUAAUUAACAACCUAUCAAUCCCGUUUCUGAUUUACUUUUAGAAAUAUUAGCUUAGCUAAUUAACUCAUUUGAUUGGCAAAUUGAUUAGUAUAAUUUCUAGGUUUUCUUGGCUUCAUCACCUUGUUUUGUUACUAUUUAAAAAAAGGAUUUAAAAUUUAGUAUUCUUGUUUAAGUUUAACUUGUUAAUACACUAGUUUAUGAUUAAAUGGUUUGAAUAAAGCCCUAAAUACCCUUAAGCCUAAAAUUCAUUUCAGAAUUAAAAGGUCAUUGAAACAAGCCUAAGCCCCCUAAUGUUGGAAUCUUCUAGAUUGUUCUAGGAGGUUCCACAAGAGUUUUGAAAUCAGAAUUUAGGUCAGGCUGGUUAGAAUUAAAAUAAUCAGUACAUGAAAGGGGUUAAACUUUAUUUACAUAAGGUAAAUAUCAUAAGGUUCUAGCAUUUUGUA
rnacentral:lncRNA from 1 species